rnacentral:rRNA from 1 species
AAUAGUGUAUAUUAAAGUUGUUGCAGUUAAAAAGCUCGUAGUUGGAUAUCUGCCGGAAGCAACCAGUCCGCCCUUUGGGUGAGCACUCGGUGAAUUCUGGCAUCCUCCUGAUUGGUGUCAUCAUCAUUUCAUUAUGUUGGUGGCAGCUGUCAGGACUGUUACUUUGAGAAAAUUAGAGUGUUUCAAGCAGGCUUAUUGCCUUGAAUACUGCAGCAUGGAAUAACAAGAUAGGAUUUCGGUUCUAUUUUGUUGGUUUCUAGGACUGAAGUAAUGAUUAAUAGGGACAGUUGGGGGCAUUCGUAUUUAACUGUCAGAGGUGAAAUUCUUAGAUUUGUUAAAGACGAACUACUGCGAAAGCAUUUGCCAAAGAUGUUUUCAUUAAUCAAGAACGAAAGUUAGGGGCUCGAAGACGAUCAGAUACCGUCGUAGUCUUAACCAUAAACUAUGCCGACUAGAGAUAGGAAAACGCCUACCUUG